rnacentral:rRNA from 1 species
AGCGAACGCUGGCGGCAGGCUUAACACAUGCAAGUCGAACGGGCGUAGCAAUACGUCAGUGGCAGACGGGUGAGUAACGCGUGGGAACGCACCUUUUGGUUCGGAACAACCCAGGGAAACUUGGGCUAAUACCGGAUAAGCCCUUACGGGGAAAGAUUUAUCGCCGAAAGAUCGGCCCGCGUCUGAUUAGCUAGUUGGUGUGGUAACGGCGCACCAAGGCGACGAUCAGUAGCUGGUCUGAGAGGAUGAUCAGCCACAUUGGGACUGAGACACGGCCCAAACUCCUACGGGAGGCAGCAGUGGGGAAUAUUGGACAAUGGGCGCAAGCCUGAUCCAGCCAUGCCGCGUGAGUGAUGAAGGCCCUAGGGUUGUAAAGCUCUUUUGUGCGGGAAGAUAAUGACGGUACCGCAAGAAUAAGCCCCGGCUAACUUCGUGCCAGCAGCCGCGGUAAC